UCCUCUCCAUCUCUCCAUCUCUCCAUUUGAAACUCCAAAUAUAUGCCUAAAGUGUCCCCUCUUCUUUCUCCUUAUGCAGAUGUCCUGGCUCUCAACAAAGGCACCAGGCAGGAUUGUUUUUUCUCUUGCAUUCCCAUAAGCCUGACUUCCUGAUGUCCACUACACUCUGUUCUCAAUCUUCUCCAGUCUUUUGCAAACUUUGAUGUUCAGAUGUCCUAUAAGCCUGACUUCCUGAUGUCCACUACACUCCGUUCUCAACCUUCUCCGGUAUUCUGCAAACUGUGAAUGCCUCCUUGUGUUGGAUUCAUGAUGUUCACCAUACUGCACGGCCUACUUUUUUUCUUCGCAAGCUAUGGAAAGAAACUCUGUUCAGCUCAUGAAACGGACUGUUCACAUUUUUUGACAUUUGUGGAGGAAGCAGGGUAUCCUGGUAAUUUUAUUUUGCAGCUACUAUGCUCUCGUCAUAGAUACCUUGCAUCCUACCCAGUGAGUACAUUAUACGAUUUUGAUUUCCAGUA